rnacentral:ncRNA from 1 species
ACACAGGUAGGUGAGACGAGUAGUCUAAGGCGCUCGGGAGAAUUCUGGUUAAGGAACUCUGCAAAUUGGCCCCGUAAGUUCGCGAUAAGGGGUGCCCCUGGCGGUUCACGCUGCUGGGGGUCCACAGUAAAUCGGCUCUAGCGACUGUUUAUCAAAAACACAGGACUCUGCUAACACGCAAGUGGAUGUAUAGAGUCUGACGCCUGCCCGGUGUGGUAGGUUAAGGAAGAGGGUUAGCGCAAGGCGAAGCUCGCGACCGAAGCCCCUAAACGGCGGCCGUAACUAUGACGGUCCUAAGGUAGCGAAGUUCCUUGUCGGGUAAGUUCCGACCUGCAUGAAUGGCGUAACGACAGAGCACUGUCUCAACCAGAAACCCGGUGAAAUUGUAGUCGUGGUGAAGAUGCCACGUUCCCGCAGUUAGACGGAAAGACCCCAUGAACCUUCACUGUAGGCUGAUAUUGGGUCUGUGGUAUGUCUGUGUAGAUAGUGGGAGGCUUGAAACGGGCGCGCUAGCGUUCGUGGAGCCAUCGUUGAAAUACCAGCCUUGUCAUGCUUUAAUUCUAACCCUAUGCCCUGAAUCGGGCUAGGGAACAGUGUCAGUUGGGCAGUUUGACUGGGGCGGUCUCCUCCUAAAGAGUAACGGAGGAGUACAAAGGUCCAUUCAGCUUGGUCGGCAAUCAAGCGUAGAGCGUAAAGGUAUAAGUGGGCUUAACUGCGAGAGACAUGACU